rnacentral:lncRNA from 1 species
UGAUAUUGCUUGAUUCUAAAGUCCAAAGGAAAAAUGGGUUUCUAUAUGACAUUCUUGUCUAUUGGAUUGCGUCCCAUUAGUCAGAUAUUUUCAACUCUUAAAAUUUAAUUUUAUGCUUAUGAUUAGUCUCUUCAUCUCCUCCCACUUCUUAAAUUUCAAAAUCUCUCCCCCCUUUUCAAAAACAUUAUUUGUUUAUGAUUUCAAACUUAGACUCUUUUGCAAAUUAGAAAC